GUGGGGGAGGGGUUGGGCCAGCCAGGGCAGGCAGGGACAGCCCCUCUGAUGAGGAGGCCACUGGGCUGAGACCAAUGAAUGAGAUGGAGCCAGCCACGUGGUGAGCCAGAAGAGGGCAUCACAGCCUUUCAUGGAAAACACACUGUCGAUGGGAAUGUAAAUUAGUGCAGCCGCUGUGGAAAGCAGUUUGGAGAUUUCUCAGAGAACUCAGAACUUCCAUGUGAACCAGCAAUUCCAUCACUGGGUAUAGACAGGAAUAGACACACAUGCAUGUGUGUGUUCAUCGUGGCACUAUUGACAAUAACAAAGACGUGGAAUCAACCUAAACGCCUAUUGACAGUAGACUACAGAAAAUGUGGUAUACACGCACUGUGGAAUACUAUGCCACCAUAACAAGAAUGAGAUCAUGUCCUUUGCUGCAACACGGGUGCAGGUGGAGGCCAUUAGCCUCAGCAAAGUAACACAGGAACGGAAAAUUAAAUACAGCAUGUUCUCACGUAUAAGCGGGAGUUAAUGAUGAGAACAUAUGGACCCACAGAGGGGAACAACAGACACUGGGCCUCCUCAAGGGUGGCGGGUAGGAGGAGGGUGAGGAUGGACACACUGCCUAGCAGGUACUAUGCUGAUUACCUGGGUGAAGAAAUAAUCGCACACCAGCCCCCUGCGACAUGCACUUCACCCACAUAACAAACCUGCACAUGCACCCUCUGAACCUAAAAUAAAAGUUGGGAAGAAAAUGAAAACACCGGCUUCCUGCUUUACUCCUCCCCAUGCCCAGUGCCACUCUCCAGAGCAACUAUUUUGGGUUUUUUUGUUUUUGUCUGUUGGUCCUCAACUGUGUAUUUUCACUCUCCUCAUUAAAGUAGAGAAUAUUUGUCAUCAUUAAAUGAAUGAAUGAAUGGACUCCCACCCAAAACCCACCUGGGCAAGCUCAGGAAGAAUGUCUGGAGGCCUGGAAGACUGGGGGCAGCCAGCAGCCUCCCUGCUGAGCGGUUCCAAGCACUGCCCAUUGGCAUGUGGGAAAGGGCACCUGGUGUAUAAGUAGGAGCGCUGCCACCUCUUGGGGGCUGAAUGCCAGAGGGGCAGAGGGAGCUGUGGGUCCCAUGAGGUCUGGUGUCUGAAGCCCAUGCUGGGACAGGUGGGCUGUGCCAGGUGAGGUGGUUCAGGUCCUACCCUCUCUUUGCAGGGCUUGAGUCUGGGGGAGCCUGGCUGCCCAGAGGUGGCAGAUGACAUGAAGAAAUAACCAUGUAAGGGCUGGCUGUGUAUGAGAGCAAGCAUUGGGAAGGAUGAAUGCCAACUAUGUUCCAGGAACUUCCACUGUUCUCACACACCCAGGUGAGUGGUGUUCAGGUGGGUGGCACCCAGGUGAGUGACAUCCCAGUUGAGUGGCACCCAGGUGAGUAGCAUCCAGGUGAGUGACACCUAGGUGAGUGACAUUCAGGUUAGUGGCGUCUGUGUGAGUGGCAUCAUCCAGGUGAGUAGCUUCCAGGUGAGUGGCACCCAGGUGAGUGGCAUUCGGGUGAGUGGCAUUAUCCAGGUGACACCUGGGUGAGUGGCAUCCAGGUGAGUGAUAUCAUCCAGGUAAGUGGCACCUAGGUGACAUCCAGGUGAGUGACGACAUCCAGGUGAGUGACAUCAUCCAGGUAAAUGGCACCCAGGUGAGUAGCAUUCAGGUGAGUGACACCCAGGCGAGUGGCAUCCACGUGACUAGCAUUGUCCAGGUGCAUAACACCCAGGUGAGUGGCACCCAGUUGAGUGGUGCCCAAGUGAGUCACAUCCAGGUAAGUGGGGUCCAGGUGGUGGCACCCAGGCGAGUGGUGCCCAGGUGAGUGACAGCCAGGUGAAUGGUGUCCAGGUGAGUGGCAUCACCCAGGUGAAUGGUGUCCAGGUGAGUGGCAUCCAGGUAAGUGGUGUCCAGGUGGUGGCACCCAGGUGAGUGGUGUCCAGGUGAGGGGCAUCACCCAGGUGAAUGGUGUCCAGGUGAGUGGCAUCCAGGUGGGUGGUACCGUCGACGUGACAAUAGCUAAAAAUUAUUGGGCUCAUUGUGGACAGGCACUGUGCCGAGCUUGACAUCACUGAACUCAGUUCAUCCUCGCCAGGAGCUUGUGGGCCGUCCCUAGAUCAGAAUCCGAGGAGAAAGGACUUCCACACGGCAGCCAGCGAGCUGGAGGGCGGCCUCCUGCCACCACCAGGCUCCCUAACCCAGUCCUGGAUAUCUGUGAAAGAAUGAGUGGAUCCCCACAGGCCAGGUGGGCGGGGACGGAGGGCUAUUGUUUCCUGGGACAAACGUGUGUGGGGAGCUGAGUGUUUCUCCUUUCUCAGCCCUGACUUCCCACAGCUAUCCCCAAACACACUCGUUUACACUGAAGCACCAGGAGAUCAGAACCUUCUGGAAUCUUAAUAUGCGAGGACUCGGUGGAGAAGGCGGCACUGAAGAAGAGUCGUCCCUAGGCCAGGCUGGAGGGAAACUCAAGACGGCGGCCUGGCCCUCCUGGGUGGCGGAAGUGGGAGCAGCAGGAGCCCUGGCGGAUCCGGGAGGCCAGAAGAGCGGAAGCUUCCUCCCCUCUCAGGACAGCCACAAGGACUUUCGGGGGUCGUGGCAGCUGCUCCACUUCCAACUUCCAGAUCCCUCUCACUUUCCUCUUCCCACCAACUCCAACCUGGGACCAAGCAGGGGAAAGCAGCUGCAGCCCAGCUUGACGCCCCUGCAAAUGGAGACCUGUGCACCUGGUUGUGAGCAUUUUAAAGGGUGUCACACAGGGCAUACCCUUCGGUGCCUGGAUUCCUUUGAUGAAAGGGCAAAGCCUUGAACCUAAGUCAUCUUCGAGUCCUCAGCACUUCACCCAGAGCCUGGCACACAGUAGGAGCACAGAAAGGUUUACAUCCAGCAGGAGUUGGCCCUGAGCUCUGAGUCCAGAUCAUUGCUCUUGGCUGAAGCAGCCUGUCUACUCACAAAGAUGAGCAUGGUCCCUGCCACGAGGAAACUCGUGGUCCUGUGGACUGCGGUGUGGAGGGAAAGCUUGGGAUUCUGAGCCUGAUAAUGCACCAUUACAUCCCCACUCACUCGGGCUGUGUGAACCCAGCAAGUCACAGGAUCACUGGGUGGUGAAAGAAAGAAACACUCACAGAAGCGUCUGUGCUUGGAGAGCCAUCUGGUCCGUCAUUGUGACUGCUGCUCUCAUUGCUAUCAUGGGUGUCACCAUUGCCAUCACUCAAGGACUUCUCUCCAGGCCCCGAAGCCAAGCUGGUGCCUGGUUCCUCUGGGUUGGGAGAGGGGCUGGGCAUGGACAGGAGGAGGGAAAAGGGACCUGUGCUAGCAGGUGAUGCCAUCCAAGACAUCUGCAUCCUAAUCCCUGGAACCUGGGAUUCCACUAGGUGCCAUGGCAAAGAGGGAUUAAGGUGGCAGGUGGAGUGAAGGUUGCUAAUCAGCCGACCUUAAAGUAGGGAGAUGAUCCUGAAUGAGACAAAAGAGAGAACCAGUCAUGGUGUCAUGAGAAGGACUCAAAAUGCAACUGCUGACUUUGAAGAUUAAGGGGCUACAAACCAAGGAACGUGGUAGUCUCUGGAAAAGACAAGGAAUAGACGCUGCGUUGGGGCCACCAGAAGGAACCAGCCCUGUCAACACCCUAAUUUUAGCCCAGUGAGGCCUGUGCUGGACUUCUGACCUCCAGAACUGUAAACUAAUAAAUGUGUGUUGUUUCUGCCA
rnacentral:lncRNA from 1 species